ACUGUAAGCUCAUUAUGGGCACGGAACGUGUCCGCUAAGUCUGUCGUAUUCACACCAGGGCUUACUACGGCGCUCUACGCAUAGAGAGCACUCAAUAAAUACCACUGAUUGAUUAACCACCAGCCAGCAGAAGCAAGCAACGAAGCGGACCUGCUAAAAUGUGACAUCUCGGAAAUCUUCCAAAACCCGCUACGAGGCCUGACCGGCCGAAGGUUGCCGACGAAAUCCUUUGGCCUACGCCUCACGUUGGACGGGCUUUCCGAUGUUUCAAAUACCGUUGGAACCCAGUUGGCCGAACCAAUGACUCCUCCCGGAAUUGAAGGGGAACUUGGGCCAAUUUCAGAGAGGGAAUCCACAAAGCACAAGGCUCUACGCUAUGAUUUGAGGCUCAGACUUCUACUCUCUCUGUGAGACCCUGAAGAUCCCCCACUGUGGUUCUUCAAAAGAAGGCUCGCUGUUAGUGAGUAAAGAAGGAGACAGGAGUGUGACUUAUUUAUCCAGCUGCAAUUCAGAUGAGUUUGGAAUGAAUGCUCUAGGGAGAUGUGUCCU